UCGUGAGACAGUUCGGUCCCUAUCCGUCGUGGGCGUAGGAAAUUUGAGAGGAGCUGUCCUUAGUACGAGAGGACCGGGAUGGACAUACCUCUGGUGUACCAGUUGUCGUGCCAACGGCAUAGCUGGGUAGCUAUGUGUGGACGGGAUAAGUGCUGAAAGCAUCUAAGCAUGAAGCCCCCCUCAAGAUGAGAUUUCCCAACUUCGGUUAUAAGAUCCCUCAAAGAUGAUGAGGUUAAUAGGUUCGAGGUGGAAGCAUGGUGACAUGUGGAGCUGACGAAUACUAAUCGAUCGAAGACUUAAUCAA
rnacentral:rRNA from 1 species